rnacentral:rRNA from 1 species
UGAGCUAAUNCCAAAAAAGGCCGUNUNAGUUGGGAUUGGAGUCUGCAACUCGACUUCAUGAAGCUGGAAUCGCUAGUAAUCGCAGAUCAGCAACGCUGCGGUGAAUACGUUCCCGGACCUUGCACACACCGCCCGUCAAGCCAUGGAAGUGGGGUGUACCUUAAGNCGAUAACCGUAAGGAAUUGUCCAAGGGAAAACUCGUAACUGGGGCUAAGUCGUAACAAGGUAGCC